UUCAGAGACUCUGUUAGUCUGCUCAGGCUGGGAUAUGGUUUGGAUGUUUGUCCCCUCCAAAUCUCAUGUUGAAAUAUAAUUUCCAAAAUUGGAGGUAGGUCUUGGUGGGAGGUGAUUGGCUCAUGGGACAGAUCCCUCAUUAGUGGUUUAGCACCAUCUCCUUGGUGAAAGUGAGUUUCCCCUCAGUUCACAUGAGGUCUUGUUGUUUAAAAGAGUCUGGGACCUACCGCUUCUCUGUCUUUCUCGCCACGUGAUAUGUUGGCUUCCCUUUGCCUUCUGCCAUGUUUGUAAGCUUCCUGAGCUUACGUGUGAUAUGUUGGCUUCCCUUUGCCUUCUGCCAUGUUUGUAAGCUUCCUGAGCCCCUUGCCAGGGGCAAUUGCCAGCACUAUGCUUCUGUACUGCCUGCAGAACCAUGAGCCGAUUCAACUUCUUUUCUUUAUAAUUUACCCACUCUCAGGUGUUGCUUUAUGGUAAUGCAAAUUGACUAGCAUAGGCUGCCAUAACAGAAUACCACAAAUUGAGUGUCUUAAAGCACAUAAAAUUAAUUUUCUCACAGUUCUGGAGCUUAGAAAUCCAAUAUCCAUCAGGGUUGGUUUCAGGUAAGUUUUCCCUCUUUGUCUUGUAGGCAGACACCUUCUGGCUGUGUACUCAUAUGGCCUUUUCUCUUUACGGAAACAGCUUG
rnacentral:lncRNA from 1 species